CUACACGACCGUACCGCAAACCGACACUGGUGCGCGAGAUGAGUAUUCUAAGGCGCUUGAGAGAACUCAGGAGAAGGAACUCGGCAAAUUGACACCGUAACUUCGGAAGAAGGUGUGCCUUUAGUAGGUGAACCUGUACAAGGGGAGCCCAAUGAGGUUGCAAAAAAUCGGUGGCUGCGACUGUUUAAUAAAAACACAGCACUCUGCAAACACGAAAGUGGACGUAUAGGGUGUGACGCCUGCCCGGUGCUGGAAGAUUGAAUGAUGGGGUGCAAGCUCUUGAUUGAAGUCCCAGUAAACGGCGGCCGUAACAAUAACGGUCCUAAGGUAGCGAAAUUCCUUGUCGGGUAAGUUCCGACCUGCACGAAUGGCGUAACGAUGGCCACACUGUCUCCUCCUGAGACUCAGCGAAGUUGAAAUGUUUGUGAUGAUGCAAUCUCCCCGCGGAAAGACGGAAAGACCCCAUGAACCUUUACUGUAGCUUUGUAUUGGACUUUGAACAGAUCUGUGUAGGAUAGGUGGGAGGCUUUGAAGUGUGGUCGCUAGAUCGCAUGGAGCCAACGUUGAAAUACCACCCUGGUGUGUUUGAGGUUCUAACCUAGGCCCGUAAUCCGGGUCGGGGACAGUGCAUGGUAGGCAGUUUGACUGGGGCGGUCUCCUCCCAAAGCGUAACGGAGGAGUUCGAAGGUACGCUAGGUACGGUCGGACAUCGUGCUAAUAGUGCAAUGGCAUAAGCGUGCUUAACUGCGAGACUGACAAGUCGAGCAGAUGCGAAAGCAGGACAUAGUGAUCCGGUGGUUCUGUAUGGAAGGGCCAUCGCUCAACGGAUAAAAGGUACUCUGGGGAUAACAGGCUGAUACCGCCCAAGAGUUCAUAUCGACGGCGGUGUUUGGCACCUCGAUGUCGGCUCAUCUCAUCCUGGGGCUGUAGCCGGUCCCAAGGGUAUGGCUGUUCGCCAUUUAAAGAGGUACGUGAGCUGGGUUUAAAACGUCGUGAGACAGUUUGGUCCCUAUCUUCCGUGGGCGCUGCAGAUUUGAGGAAGCCUGCUCCUAGUACGAGAGGACCGGAGUGGACACACCUCUGGUGUAUCGGUUGUCACGCCAGUGGCAUUGCCGAGUAGCUAUGUGUGGAAGAGAUAACCGCUGAAAGCAUCUAAGCGGGAAACUCGUUUCAAGAUGAGAUCUGCCGGGGCCUUGAGCCCCCUAAAGAGUCGUUCAAGACCAGGACGUUGAUAGGUCGGGUGUGGAAGCGCAGUAAUGCGUUAAGCUAACCGAUACUAAUUGCUCGUGCGGCUUGACC
rnacentral:rRNA from 1 species